rnacentral:lncRNA from 10 species
AAGGUGGAAACUGAGACCCAGAGAGCCGUGACUUGACUGAUCCCACAGCCAGGAAAUGGUGGAGCCUGGAUUUGAACCCCAGCUUUUAAGAAGAAGGUGCCACUGUCCUGGAAGAACUCUCAGGACAGCAUUAGUGUCUCAGGGAUCCCCCUAAUCGGAGGGGCCUUAAGCCUAAUCAUGAUUGUCACUGAAGAUCCAGGAGGGCUUCCUGGAGGAGGAGGCAGCUCCAUUCUGAAAUGCCAAGGGUACAGCUUUAUUGGGACAGCCAGUGUCUCUGAAUAUGUAGGUUUUGCACAGAGCUUGUACUGCCCCAGGGCCUGUACACUGCCUGUCCCCUCUGCCUUGUGCACUCUUUCCCUAGAUGUCCAAAUGGCUCCUUUCCUCACCUACCCCAAAUCUCAAUUCCAGUGUUUCCCCAGCCUCCCCUCAUUUCAGUAAUCACUCUGCAGUGAGCUAGGAUUGCGCCACUGC